rnacentral:sRNA from 1 species
AGAGUGUGUGUGUGUGUGUGUUGU